GAUGAACGCUAGCGGGAGGCUUAACACAUGCAAGUCGAGGGGCAGCAUGAGGUAGCAAUACCUUGAUGGCGACCGGCAGACGGGUGAGUAACGCGUAUGCAACCUACCCUGUACAGGGGGAUAACCCGGAGAAAUUCGGACUAAUACCCCAUAAGGUUAUAGAUAGGCAUCUAUUUAUAAUUAAAGUUCCGGCGGUACGGGAUGGGCGUGCGUAACAUUAGCUAGUUGGUAAGGUAACGGCUUACCAAGGCUUUGAUGUUUAGGGGUCCUGAGAGGGUGGUCCCCCACACUGGUACUGAGACACGGACCAGACUCCUACGGGAGGCUG
rnacentral:rRNA from 1 species